UACUAUACAAAAAAUGUCAACUUGUUAAAUCAUAUUCACAGUAUUUCUCAUUCAAUUCCUUUGUUCACACCAAUCACAACCAAAAAGAAUUUCUAGAACAAAAUUUGGAGAAAUUACAUUCAAAAUGUCUGCCUUGCGACCUAAUCGCGCUCAUCCAACUGAAUAUAAAAUAAAUGGUUUGCCGUCCAACGAAAACCACCACUCAGAUGAUGAUGAUGGCUCGACGGAUUCUCCGCGUAUUGGCAUGCCAUGCAGAAAAUAUCAACAUUCGAGCCAGACAAAUGGGAGUUGAGCCAAAGUGUCCUCAGUGCAAUACUUGCAUUAAAUGGCGGGACCUGCACAAGUAUACCACAGAAUGGGAUUAUGCACGCCGCUUCUAAUAUGUACACAAUUUUCUGGGCUUUGAUGUUAUUUAUUAUCUACCGUUUUAUUUUGUAUUCUAACUAAUGCUGCAUCGUCAUCCAUUUUAAUACAAUGAGCCCAAGGCUGGAUCUUAUGACCUUA